GGAAGAGAGAGAUGUGGAGGAAGUGUUUGCUCUCCCUUGUGCUGGCUCUUGCACUGGCUCAGGCCUGUGCGAGGAGCACUCCAGGUCAAGUCAGUGUAAGCACAAACCACACUGACAGCGCCGCUGCCGGCGUUGGUGAUCAAAAGAACUUUUUCUAUGCUGGAGGCAUUGGCGGGAUUGCUGGCGGGGGUGUUCCCGGACUCGGCUUUGGCGGAGGUGUUCC
rnacentral:misc_RNA from 1 species